rnacentral:rRNA from 1 species
UACGUAGGUGGCGAGCGUUGUCCGGAUUUACUGGGCGUAAAGAGCGCGUAGGCGGCUGGUCAAGUCCGAUGUGAAAGCUCCCGGCUUAACUGGGAAAUUGCAUCGGAAACUGAUCGGCUGGAAGGUGGGAGAGGGAAGCGGAAUUCCCGGUGUAGUGGUGAAAUGCGUAGAUAUCGGGAGGAACACCAGUGGCGAAGGCGGCUACCUGGCCCAUUCUUGACGCUGAGGCGCGAAAGCUAGGGGAGCAAACGGG